UUUUGUGCAGGUAUGGCGGGCAGCAAGGCUUCCAAAGAGAGCUGAAAGCGGAAGAGGGAGGUCUCCAGAAAAGUGCGGGAAAUGAAGCGCGCCUAGGUAUCGCAGACGCCAAGGCAUGAUUCAAGAGAGGUUCCGGGUGGCUCGUCCCGACCCUCGGGACAACCGGUCCCUGAAAUAGAGAUAUCUCAGUCUCCUCCUCGACAAGAAAAGCCACCACCUCCACCAGUUGCUUCGAGUGCGGAAGGGGGCCCUUCCCAACCUGCUACGAGGACCCUUUCCCGCGGCG
rnacentral:misc_RNA from 1 species